UUCACUCUGCAUGAGAGAGCCAUGAAGGAGCCAAACCCUGAGGUGUAACAUGGUUAAACUGGGGUGGAGUAGUAGACUGUGUUCUUGGGACAAGAGAUUUGGGCGGAGAGGUAGUGGGAUGGGUGCGGAAAGUGCCAUCUUGGCAAGAAAAGGGUACCAUGCCUGUCUGGGCCAUGUAGGGGUGAUCAUUAUGACCCUGGCUUGGUCUGUUCAUAUUUUGAUCAGUACUUUGUGUACGAGUGGUAUCGGGGAAACGCAUACGUUAGGUUGGUGUUCCAUGGGAACAUGAAUGCAUCCCCCGAGGAGUGUUUGCCUAGUUCAUGAAUGCAUCCCCCGAGGAGUGUUUGCCUAGAACAAAACCUUGGGCAUUUCUUGUUUGCUGCAGUUGUGAAAAGGUCUGUGGUUGGGUAUCCCCAUGUAUGAAAUAUGUCUAAUACUAUAUCCUUGUUUAGUUCCCAUUCAUGGUCUAUGGGAAAUCUUCAGCUGAGGUCAUCUGCGGUGGAAUUGAGAGAGCCAAGCCAAGAGUAUGGAAACAUUGGACUGUCCAUUGUGUGGACUGAAUGGCUUCUUGGAGGGUCCUGGCUUUGAAAAGGCAGUUGUCGAGGCACCAACACCACCUAUGGUAGAAUAUUAAAAAUCUAAAUAAAAUGACAAUGUCAUCAGUAAUUCAAUCAAGCCUUUGCAUUCCAAGGAAACUCCACCAGUCCACACCAGCAUCAGCAAGUACAUCAAACACCACAAUGCGGCAGAGGCAUCAAAAGCAACUGAUCGACUUUCAGAUCUAUCUGAUCUUUGCUCUACAUCAGGAGGCGAUCGACCACCAAAACUAGCAGACUGGAAGGAUCAAGAUGAUAGUACUGCAAGUUAGUUCUAGGACUCUCACUAACCUUUCUCAAAAGAGGAAGAUUAGAGAUGACGCAACAGCUGCAAAAAUAUAUAUUUGGUUACAUGAAUUAAAAACAAAUUGUAAGGCUUAUUUAGCAUGAUAACGAAAGACUAAGAAACGUUAGUUUCAGAUAAAAGUAAUGAUUGUGAAAGGGCUGGACUGAUAGCGUCUGAGGCAGAAAUCCUGUUUAUUCACAGAACUGGAAUAGCAGGCCUUCCCACACCAUGUUGCCAUUAUGCAUCAAUCCUGUUCUGGAAGAGCCACCUUUAGGGUAGAAAGUUUAGUGUCUGUACUCACCUCCUUGUUGACACUAUCAACUACAAUCAGCAAAACUGGUAAUUAGUAGGGCUGUCAAAUGAUUAAAAAUAUUAAUCACAAUUAAUUGUGAGAUUAAAAUAAACCAUGAUUAAUUGCAGUUUUAAUUUCACUAUUAAACAAUAAUAGAAUGAGCUCAUGCUCAAAUAAAUUGGUUAGUCUCUAAGGUGCCACAAGUACUCCUUUUCUUUUUGCGAAUACAGACUAACACGGCUGUUACUCUGAAACCAAUAAUAGAAUAUCACUUAAAUAUUUCUGGAUUGGGGGAAGUGUGUGUGUGUUGGGGGGAAGUGUGAGACCCAGAGUAGGUGUGUGUUGGGGGAGUGUGUAUGUGUGUGAGAGACAAACUGCAUAUGCGUGAGAGACAGUGUGUGUGUGUUGGGGAAGUGAGUAUGUUCAGCGCACUGUCUCUUUAAGCAGAGCACUCCCCAGCCUGAACGCUUGUUCAGACUGCAGCAGCCGCAGGUGGCUCCCGCUCCUGACCCAGAGGCAGCAGCAAACAGGCUCCCUGUCACUCCACCCUAGCUUAGCAGAGACUGGGUACAUGGGGAGGAAGAUGGGAACCCCAACAUUAGCCCUCAGCCCACUCUGCACAGCAGAGAGGAGGGUACCGGUGCUGAGCACCUUGGGUGUGCGGAGUAGAAGCAGCGGUGGCUGCAGAGCAGAGCAG